UGUGCAUUAAUAAUAAAGUAUCCAGAUGCAUUAGAAUAUUAGAUUGCUAUUAGUAAUUAUAUAGGUGAAUUGUAUAUCUCUCGAAUUUCAUUCAACAUCACUCGGUACCACCGCCACUCAUCAACGAACACCGCCUCUCCUCUCUGUAUUCACGUAAAUUAAAACGCUUCCAGUCUCCAAAACUUCAUUUCUUCUUUGUUCGCAAGCAUUGGAGGAGCCUUUGCGCCAUUUCAAGAAGAACUAGACAUACUGAAUCAGAGAGCCGUAAGUUUUCUCGAUUUCUCUUUGCUUUUUUUUCUCAGCUUCGCCAUCUGUGUCUUCGUAGUCCUCAGGUUCGUCAUCCUCUGACACGUCAUCUUCAUCCUACCGUCGUCGUCGCUGCCGAAAUCUCGGCCGCGAAAAAGAUAGAGACAGGGAGUCGGCAUACAAAAAGCUUGAAAAUGGGAAUGGAAAAAAAACAGUAAUGAUAUGGAGGAGGGAACGCUAGAGAUUGGCAUGGAGCUUUGAGAAGAACCCAGGAUGGAUCAGAAGAGUGGGGAUACGUUGAAGUCAGAUCAAAAGCACACAUGUUUUGGUGGCUGUGCAGAAGUCCAUAUAGAGUUGAAAAUCCCUCCAAGCCAUGGCUAAUCAUUCUCUCGCUGCAAGGUGGACCUGGUGCUUCAGGCGUUGGGAUUGGGAAUUUUGAGGAGGUUGGACCAUUGGACAAUUAUUUGAAGAGCAGGAAUUUGACAUGGUUGAGAAAAGUUGAUCUCCUGUUUGUGGAUAAUCCCGUGGGAACGUGAUACAGUUAUGUGGAGGAUUCAGAUUCAAAAUUGUUUGUGAAAACUAAUGUUGAGACCGCAACUGAUUUAACUGCAUUGUUGGAGGAGCUUUUUAAUGAAAAUGAGAAACUUCAAAAGAGUCCUCUGUACAUUGUGGCAGUGUCUUAUGGAGGAAAAUUUGCAGUCACUCUUUGAUUGUCUGCACUAAAAGCUAUAGAAGACGGAAAAUUAAAGCUUAAACUUGGGAGGUUAACUGUUUUCUAAAAUCAUAAAAAAGCUUUAAUUUGCUUCGCUCCUCCUUCUCCGAAGAUCCGCUACAGUGAAGUAGGUGAUCAGGCAGUACUAAAUACUCUUUGGGAGAGAUAUGAGAGCACCACUGAUAAUGUUGAAUUAUGCCCUUACAUACCGUGAAGUCAUUGCAAUUUGAUGCAGUGACAUGUUUUGGUCGAUGCAAAGGUUCUCACUGAUAAGACUUACCCUACAGGCUUCUUGGGCAGCUUAAAAUCCAAUUUAAGUUCGAGAUGGAUCCACCAUUUGGACAUGAUUUCCAUAAUUUUUUCCCCUUCAUUUAGCUUCUUUUAUAUUCUUUUUGAAAUUUUGUACAUGUCGUAUCUAUUGGCAGAUGUUGUAUCAAUUCCAAAGACAAAUGAGAACUUCAGUCUGCUUUAUGACAUAAGGGCUGUUCUCGCCUUAAUUCAGUCAGGGAUAAUGAGGCAAAGGUUAGUCUUGAAAGUCAGUUUAUUUUUAUGUAGGACUUUGUUAUUUGGAGAAUAUAUUGUAUUAUUUAAUACAUUAUAACAGAAAUGAUAUUCUACACGAAUCAAUUAUUA